GGCUCCAUAGUGUAGUAGUUAGCACAUCUGCUUUACAUGCAGAAGGGCCUGAGUUCCCACCCCAGGUGGAGCCU
rnacentral:tRNA from 1 species